rnacentral:rRNA from 1 species
CCGAGAUUCCCCCAGUAGCGGCGAGCGAACGGGGAGGAGCCCAGAGCCUGAAUCAGUGUGUGUGUUAGUGGAAGCGUCUGGAAAGGCGCGCGAUACAGGGUGACAGCCCCGUACACAAAAAUGCACACAUUGUGAGCUCGAUGAGUAGGGCGGGACACGUGGUAUCCUGUCUGAAUAUGGGGGGACCAUCCUCCAAGGCUAAAUACUCCUGACUGACCGAUAGUGAACCAGUACCGUGAGGGAAAGGCGAAAAGA